ensembl:lncRNA
GACGAGCGGAGCAUCUCAACACUGAUUGGCUUUCACAAGAGGCACAUCUUUCGCCCAGAGACAGUAGAGUUGGAGCAGUCUUGCAAUGUGGCGGCUCAGGAUUGAUGGAAAGGCAACAUCACGAUCACAACGUGAAGAAUAUGCAUCAUCAGAGCUCGAGUCAUCACCACUUGGUGAAGAGCCAGGAACGUAGUCUUCAUCACAGAUGGAUGCUUCAUCACCGAAGGGUUCAACAUCCGUCACCUAAAAGAUUUGAAGAAACAUCUGCAUCCUCACAGAGCAGGCGUCCUCAAAGAGCAGGUGUCCUCAUCUCCUCUACCUACCGAACACGAUGGAAAAUGAAUAUUCAGGUUUGACAAGUUACCUGCUG